rnacentral:rRNA from 1 species
UACGUAGGGCGCGAGCGUUGUCCGGAAUUAUUGGGCGUAAAGAGCUCGUAGGUGGCUUGUCACGUCGGGUGUGAAAGCUUGGGGCUUAACUCCAGGUCUGCAUUCGAUACGGGCUGGCUAGAGGUAGGUAGGGGAGAACGGAAUUCCUGGUGUAGCGGUGAAAUGCGCAGAUAUCAGGAGGAACACCGGUGGCGAAGGCGGUUCUCUGGGCAUGACCUGACGCUGAGGAGCGAAAGCAUGGGGAGCGAACAGG